UUCAUAAAAGCACAAACAAACAUUGUAUUAUUUGUUUUAUUUCCACAAUGGAAUUCAUGUCUAUUUUUUCUUAAUCUUAAAUAUAUUUUGAUAAUAUUUAGUUAAAUUAUAUCUAAAAACCAUAUUCGAGUCAUAUGAAACAUAUUUCAUAUACACCAAAUAAUAUAAUAAAAAUAUCAGAGUCUAGUUUCUAAAAUUUAAUUAAUGUAUAUACAGUAAAACUAAUAUUACAUGUUUGAUUUUGGAAAAUAGGCACCAUAUGUUAAAAUUAUAACAAUUGUGAAAGCUUAGAAAUGUACCACUCUACUUAAGCAAUUAAAAAGUUGGGUCAAAUCAUACUCAAAAGAAAGACUAAUAAUUGACAUGGAACAGAUUAAUCAUAGCCUUAUUUCCAUGUUCACGGUUGCACUUGCAGUUGCGCUGAGCUUGGAACAUAAGGGCACACAAAUGGGCACUAGAAUACCGGGAGCACAAAUACAAAUUUGUUGUGUUUUCUAUGAUUCAGACCUCUCCCAUAUUCACAGACUUGAAAUAUUUUAUCGUGUCCAAGUAUGUUAGCUCUUUGGUUGUAACGGAUCUCAGUCCGUGUCCACCAUUGUCUAGAUCGACAAGCACAGCAACUUUCCUCGUCAAUGAAGAAACUCCCAGCUAGACCAUCAACAUUAAAAAUAGAGAUGGACCUCAAUAACUUGCUCCAUGAAACUGCGUCUUGAUUAAUCUUAUUUGUAAUCCAAAUCUCCAAAUCUUAUUAGUCAGGCUAUGUCGAGAUGACUGUUGCAGUAACCGAGUCAGUGUUGAAGAAGAGAAUGAGCGAGGACGGAACAUUCUAAUGCACCCUAUAUUUCAUAUGUUGAAUGAGCUAGGUCCAUAUGUUGGAUCCAAUUGGUGUCAAAAUGUAUGCCUUCUCUAUGAUAACAUUCUGAUGCACCUUGGUAGAUUUGUGUACAUGUAAAGGGUAUAGGUUUUCUCUUUUUACUAUCUAAAAUGCUACAUUUCGUGCUUUGAUUUUAUUAGCAGUCUAACUUGGGUUUAUAUACAUUUUUCAGUUCUAUUUUCCAGGACAAGUGUAGCUUAAUAUAGUGUAAUCCAGUCUUGUUAUAUUUGGCUAUGUCGAGAUGACGGUUGCAGUAACCAAAACUGUUGUUCCCGAGUCAGUGUUGAAGAAGAGAGUGAGGGAGGACGGAACAUUCUAAUGCACCCUGAAAAUCAUAAGUUGAAUGAGCUAGGUCCAUAUGUUGGAUCCAAUUGGUGUCAAAAUAUAUGCCUUCUCUAUGAUAACAUUCUGAUGCACCUUGGGUUCCAGGGGAUAGGGAAGCAUGACAUCAUCUAUGUGGACGAUCUGAUCCCACAUUUCGUAGAACAUUUGUGUUAAAAAGUGUGCCUAUAUGAGGCCUAGGCUAGAGGUGAAGUUACUUGGACCCGGCGGUGAUUGUGGAAGUUGAUGAGAUAAAAUUGAAGAAGAUUUUGGAGGAGAUGGGGCUGGUGAAUUGUUUGUGGAAGUUGAAGAGUAUAAUUAUGAUGAUGAAUGGAUUUUUAGUUUUAAAGUUUGUUUUCAGCUUGUUUUAUGAAAACUUUAUUUUAAAACUUGUUUGAAUAGUUUAUUGUUCCGUUGUUUUCUAUUACCUAAAUACUUUUUUGACAUUUGAAAGUACACACUUCAGUUCUUAAACUUGGAAAAUUUAAACAAUUUACACUAGCAGAAGUUCAGUCACAUGAUUCAGAAGUAAUCGUUAAGAGGAGAAAAACAAAAACAAGUAAAAAUUAACAACUAACAACGCAAUACAAAUUAUUUAAACUUCAAAAUAAAAUAACAUUUUUUAAACUUAAGAACCAAACGUAUUUGUAAUUAAACUACAAAAGCAAUUGUGAUAACAUAAAACAUAAAUAUUGACCAAAUACCAAAAACAUAUAUUAAACUAAAUAUUUGAGUUAAUUAUUCAUGUAAUAGAUAAUCAUUUUAGGUAUUCAUUAAUAUCUUGUAUAUUUUUGGUAUAUUCAGAUAUUUAUUUGGGUUUGGGUUUGGUUCGGGUAAAACUCAUAAUCCAAAAUACCGUAGAACAAGACCCAUUUGGUGUUUAUGUCGGAUUUGGUUUGGAUUCAUUUUUAUCGGAUCGGGUUUGGUUCUUGUUUUUGGAUUCGGUUUAUUCGCCUAGUUAUGUAUCAAAUUAAAAAAAUUGUGUCAGUUAUAAUAUAUGUCAAUAUAUUUUGGAUUAUGUUUUAAAUAAGUUAUAAAUAGAAUAUGCAAUGUAUUAUGGAUUAUGGAUUAUGGAUUAUUUUAAAUAAUUCACUCAUAAAAAUCCAUUAGAGUUAAUUUCAAAUGAUUAUAUAUAAGAAUAUGUGCAAAGUCAUUUAGAGGUGAGUAUUCAAUCAUUAAUUCUAAAUUUUACUAUAUGAUAUAUAGGUUUAUAAUUUAAAAGAUUAAAAACUGAAAUCAUUUUUAAUGAAAUUAUGUGUACGAAUUACAAAUUAUCUAUAAUAUAUCUUAGAUUUUGUAUUUAAUCAUUUACUCAUGAAAUCUAUUAGACUUAAUUUCAAAUGACACCAUAUAAUAAUCAUUUAGUUUUGAAUAAAAUGAUUUUUAAUGAACUAUUUGAGCUUAACUGAAGAACACUAUAUUUAGAAAUCUAUGACACAUGAUUUACAAAUUAAAGAUCGGAUAACAUUUAGUUCUAAAACAAAAUCUAAAAUCAUUAAAUGAAUAAUACCAAAUUAUGGUUAAAUUUAAACUUUUAAAAGUCCAUCAUUAUAUAGCACCUCUUUAGUUUUAAAUACGUUAAAUUAGAUUUUAGUAACACUGAAUUUUAAAAUAUAUUAAAUAUUUACAAAAUACAAAAUCCAAUAAUAGUAAAUUUUAAAUCAAUUUCAUUAAUAGAAAAAGCAACAUAUAGUCGUUAGAUUUGGACUAUAUUAAAAUCCUCUUUCUCUUUUUUUAAACAAAGAACAUUUAUUCUUAAACUCCCUCCUAAAACUGUCUUUGAAUCAUAAAUACAUCACUGAGAGAGCUCUGCAUCAUCCUAUUGCAAUAUAUAUAUCUCACUGUUGGAUUUAAUUCUUGUUACAGCAAUCAAACGUAGUAAAAAACUAGAAUUUCAACCAAUAGGAUCACUCUAAAACGAAAAUAAAAGAAGGCAGUCGAUUGAAAAAUCAUAGUGUCUCUGAGAACUUGGAACUUAGCAAAACAAUCAUCAUCAUUAUAAUCAACAUCAGCUGCGAAGACAAUGGGCAAGUAGGUUAACGUGAGUGGCUUCCAGCCUGGGGUGAACGCAAUGGAGGUUAGCAGCUUUUCGAGAGUAUCACUGGUUUGGAAACUAUUCACGAGAUCAGGCUUAAAGAGACUAAGGGUGGUCGUGACAAAAAAAAAAAAAAAAAAAGAGACUAAGGGUGGUGGUAAAUUUUAUGCGUUGGUUCAAUUUACACAAGAGACACAUGCGAAGAAACUCCUCACGUGAUCCACCGAAGUCAACACACCCUAUCGUCUACGAAAAACUGAACCAACAUGUUGAUGAUGAGUAUGAGAAGUUAAACUUCAGCAGAGAUGGGUUUGAUGAAUGGAUAAAAACUACAGAUUUUACAUCAUGUUCUCUAACUGGUUAGUCAUCUGCCAUUAUUUUAAAGUUUCCCUAUGAGCGCGAUGUUGAUUUCAAAAAUAAUCAACCAUUUUCACUAUAUAUUAUCUUACUAUGGAAUCGGGGUUUUCAUAUUCAUCAAAUACCAACAGCCUUGCCCUUGUUGUUGAUCCACCUCCAAAAAUCGAUUUGCCUUUUGAAAUUUUGUUUAGUGUUAAUUCAUUGGUGCAUGAUGCGUGUUUUCCUGCCACAAGUCUUGAUAUUGAGUUUUAUCUGUUUCUUGAUCCCAAAACACAAGACAGAGCGCAUUCAUUGAUUAUGCUAUUCAAAAGUUAUUGUGCCUUGGAAAAAUUUCGUAUGCUCAUGUUGCUUGGCUCACCCAAGAGUACUCAGAAUGGAAGAAGAAAGAAAAGCCUAUGCAAUCGACUUUAGAAUAUAAAGUUGGACUUUUUAAUAUACCUAGGGUUAAAGUUACACCAACUAGAGUGUACUUCUCUGGACCGGAGCUUUAUGAGUCAAAUCAUGUCUUUAGAUACUAUGACGAAAUUGUUGAUAUACUCUAAAGACUAGAUUUGACUCAUGAGGCUUCAGUCCAGAGAAGUACACUCGCGUAGGUGUAAUUUUGACCCUACGUAUAUUAAAAAGUUCACGUUGAUAGUCCAAAGUUGAUUUCGUAGGCUUUUCUUUCUUCCCCCAUUCCAAGGACUCUUUGGUUAGCCAAGCAACAUGCUCAUAGGAACAUUUUCCAAGGCAUAAUAACUUUGGAAGAGCAUAAUCAAUGAAUGCUCUGUCGUGUGCUUUGGGAUCAAGAAACUGAUAAAACUCAGUAUCAAGACUUGUGGGAGGAAGACAUGCAUUCUGCACCAAUGAAUUAACAUUGAACAAAAUCUCAAAAGGCAAAUCAAUUUCUGGAGGUGGAUCAACAACAGGGGAAAGGCUGUUGGUAUUUGAUGAAUAUGAAAACUCCGAUUCCAUAGUAAAGAUAAUAUAAGGGGAAACUGUUGAUUAUUUUUGAAAUCAACCUUGCGCUCAUAGGGAAACUUUAAAAAAAAUGGCAGAUGACUGACCAAUUAGAGAACAUGAUGUAAAAUCUGUAGUUUUUAUCCAUUCAUCAAAUCCAUCUCUGCUGAAGUAUUACUUCUCAUACUCAUCAUCAACAUGUUGGUUCUGUUUUUCAUAGAUUUUGGGACCUCCUUUUAACUGAAUCAAAAGAAGCUUUGAAGCCUUUUCUUGUGAGAGAUGCCAAUUGAUUUGCCUGAUGUUCUCAAAAGGUAUCUUCAUUCGGUAGUUUCACCCAAAUGCACCGAGAAAUGCAGGUUAUGGUUGCCACUUCCAAAAGUACCACAAACACUGAACAGAUAUUUGAGUUUCUCGGGUGAACCAAAAAAUACAAAGUACAUGAGUAAACCAUCAACAUCAUGUUCCAUUGAAUCUCUGUCUUUACUGUCAGUUUCAUCUUUCCAUUCAUAAAAUUUGAGACGAUAGGGUGUGUUGACUUUGGUGGAUCGCGUGAGGAGUUUAUUCCCAUCUGUCUCUUACAACAUUUUGGUUAUAACAUGUAUCAUCAUUACAAUAUUUUUUAAAAAAAUUCUAGAGAAA